rnacentral:lncRNA from 1 species
CCAUGGCCGUUAUGGAGGACGGCGAGGAACCCUGCGUCCUUUCUUCUCCGGGAGCGCAGGCUCCGAGUUGGGAGGCUACAAGAUGUUCUCCCUCAAGAAGUGGAAUGCGGUAGCCAUGUGGAGCUGGGACCUUGAGUGUGAUACCUAUGCCAUCUGCAGGGUCCAGGUGAUGGAUGCCUAUCUUAGAUGUCAAGCUAAAAACAAGCAAGAGGACUGUGUCGUGGUCUGGGGAGAGGAGAGUGUAACCACUCCUUCCACACCUGCUGCAUGUCCUUGUGGGUGAAACAGAAUAAUGGCUGCCCUCUGUGCCAGCAGGACUGGGUGGUCCAAAGAAUCGGCA